CUUAUGAUACGUACGAUGGUCUUUCGUUCGACACGGUGCGUUUCAAGGUCCUGCACCCAUCUGUCGGUAAACUGUACCUGGGCUUGUUGCAGUGACCGGAAGUUACUAAACUUCAUGAGUGUGUGCACUCACUCCAAGAACCGUAUGAUUAUAAAUAUGCAUAUAAAUAUGCUAGGAUGAGAUAGCUGACUUCAUCUAACUAGCAAAUGUUGUCCAGGCUACGUUGGUGAUACAGUUUUUUUUUUUAAUGUGUAUGAUAUUUUUGUCAUGCGAUUUUAAAGCUGGUCCUACAACCGCAUCCAAGAAUAACAUGCAGCUUAUCUCAGAACUGUCUGUGAAAAUUAUUCUUGGAGCUAGGUUUAAUUGAGCUGCAUUUUAAAGAGGUGCAAUUUCACAAUUUGUGUAUAUUUUCUAAGUUCACUCUUUUGUCAUGUGUUGAGAAAAACACAGAUUUUAAAAUUACAUGGUCUAAUAUUUACAUUUAGCAUAACUGCAACAUUAUUUUUUCGUUUUUUUUUUUAAAGACUCGAAAGGACUUGAAAUUCAAAGUUUCAGACUUGUGACUUGACUCGGACUUUUACACCAGUGACUUGAGACUCGACUCUGACUUGCCUGACAUUACUUGAGACUUGACUUGAGACUUGAGGAUAAAGACUUGAGACUUACUUGAGACUUGCAAAACAAUGACUUGGUCCCACCUCUGUACUUUAAUACUUGUACAGCUGCUGUUAUUGUGUAUAUAUUUAUUUAUAUUUAGAUUUCUUCAUACAUUCUUAUAUAGUUCUAUACUGUGUAUUGUGUAUUUUGUUGUACAGUUAUUUUAUUUUCAACUUUAAUUUAUAUAUUUUAUCUUAUUCUUCCCAGUUAAAUUUACCCUUCAUUCUAAUUUGUGUUGUACAGUUAUUUCAUUUUUAACCUUAAUUUAUAUUUUAUUCCUUCCUAGUUAAAUUUACCCUUAAUUUUUCAUAUUUAUUUCCUAUCUUAUUCAUAGCCUUUCCUUUUUUGUUUUCUUUAGGUCACGAGCAGUUGUCCAAGCAUUUCACUACAUAUCGUACUGUGUAUGACUGUGUACGUGACAAAUAAAAUUUGAAUUUGAAUUUGAAUUUGAAUUUGAAAAAUAUGCUGAGUUUUCUGCUGUACCUUAAUUGUUUAAUAUGUGAUACAUGCCUGCAUGAGUGAAUAAAAUAAACAUUCACA
ensembl:lncRNA